AAUCAACGCUGGCGGCGUGCCUAACACAUGCAAGUCGAACGCGAAAGCCCCGCAAGGGGUAAGUAGAGUGGCAAACGGGUGAGUAACACGUGGGUAAUCUGCCUCAGAGCGGGGAAUAACACCGGGAAACCGGUGCUAAUACCGCAUACGAUCACGAUGUCUGCGGAUGUUGUGAUGAAAGGCGCAAGUCGCUCUGAGAGGAGCCCGCGGCUGAUUAGCUAGUUGGUGGGGUAAUGGCCCACCAAGGCAACGAUCAGUAGCCGGUCUGAGAGGACGGUCGGCCACACUGGAACUGAGACACGGUCCAGACUCCUACGGGAGGCAG
rnacentral:rRNA from 1 species